UACGGAGGGUGCGAGCGUUGUCCGGAAUCAUUGGGCGUAAAGGGCGCGUAGGUGGCGGGACAAGCGUGCGGUGAAAGCUCGGGGCUCAACCCCGAGUCGGCCGUGCGAACUGUUUUGCUUGAGCACUGUAGAGGCAGGCGGAAUUCCGGGUGUAGCGGUGGAAUGCGUAGAGAUCCGGAAGAACACCGGUGGCGAAGGCGGCCUGCUGGGCAGUAGCUGACACUGAGGCGCGAAAGCGUGGGGAGCAAACAGG
rnacentral:rRNA from 1 species